GAUGAAGAACGCAGCAAAAUGCGAUAAGUAAUGUGAAUUGCAGAAUUCAGUGAAUCAUCGAGUCUUUGAACGCACAUUGCGCCCCCUGGUAUUCCGGGGGGCAUGCCUGUCCGAGCGUCAUUGCUGCCCUCAAGCACGGCUUGUGUGUUGGGCCCCCGUCCCCGGUUCUCCCCGGGGACGGGCCCGAAAGGCAGCGGCGGCACCGCGUCCGAUCCUCGAGCGUAUGGGGCUUUGUCACCCGCUCUGUAGGCCCGGCCGGCGCCAGCCGACACCCCAACUUUAUUUUCUAAGGUUGACCUCGGAUCAGGUAGGGAUACCCGCUGAACUUAAGCAUAUCAAUAAGCGGAGGA
rnacentral:misc_RNA from 1 species